GUCGUGAGAUGUUGGGUUAAGUCCCGCAACGAGCGCAACCCCUGUCCCAUGUUGCCAGCACGUAAUGGUGGGGACUCUUGGGAGACUGCCGGGGUCAACUCGGAGGAAGGUGGGGACGAUGUCAAGUCAUCAUGCCCCUUAUGUCCAGGGCUGCAAACAUGCUACAAUGGCCAGUACAAAGGGCUGCGAAACCGCGAGGUCGAGCGAAUCCCGAAAAGCUGGUCUCAGUUCGGAUUGGAGUCUGCAACUCGACUCCAUGAAGCCGGAGUCGCUAGUAAUCCCGGAUCAGCAACGCCGGGGUGAAUACGUUCCCGGGCCUUGUACACACCGCCCGUCACACCACGAAAGUCGGAGACGCCCGAAGCCAGUGGCCCAACCCUUUGGGAGGGAGCUGUCGAAGGUGAAGUCGGCGAUUGGGGUGAAGUCGUAACAAGGUAGCCGUACCGGAAGGUGCGGCUGGAUCACCUCCUUUCUAAGGAGUCACUGCCUCUGCGCUUGCGUAGAGGUGACUCUCGAAAGUUGAACACUCGCUUGGUUCUGUCAGACGUCAUCGGAGGGUAGAGGUUCGCCUCCUCAUCGAUGCCUGACGGCUGAACAACUGUCCUCUCUUCUGUUUUGAGGGAGCGAUCCCUCCAUCUGAAUGCUCGAGGCUCCGCUGCAGCUCGGCAUCGCCGGGCUGCACGUCCUCGUUUCCGCAGCGCCUCACCUCAGCGUGAGGCGCUUUGCGCUCCUUGAGAAUUGCAUAGCGAGCACGAGCAUCUUUGUUCUUCCAAGCUACAAAGAGCCAACGGUGGAUGCCUUGGCACCUGACACCGAUGAAGGACGUGGGUGGCUGCGAAAAGCCACGGGGAGCUGCCGACCAAGCUUUGAUCCGUGGAUAU
rnacentral:sRNA from 1 species